rnacentral:rRNA from 1 species
AAACCAACAGGGAUUGCCUUAGUAACGGCGAGUGAAGCGGCAAAAGCUCAAAUUUGAAAUCUGGCACCUUCGGUGUCCGAGUUGUAAUUUGAAGAAGGUAACUUUGGAAUUGGCUCUUGUCUAUGUUCCUUGGAACAGGACGUCACAGAGGGUGAGAAUCCCGUGCGAUGAGAUGCCCAAUUCUAUGUAAAGUGCUUUCGAAGAGUCGAGUUGUUUGGGAAUGCAGCUCUAAGUGGGUGGUAAAUUCCAUCUAAAGCUAAAUAUUGGCGAGAGACCGAUAGCGAACAAGUACAGUGAUGGAAAGAUGAAAAGAACUUUGAAAAGAGAGUGAAAAAGUACGUGAAAUUGUUGAAAGGGAAGGGCUUGAGAUCAGACUUGGUAUUUUGCGAUCCUUUCCUUCUUGGUUGGGUUCCUCGCAGCUUACUGGGCCAGCAUCGGUUUGGAUGGUAGGAUAAUGACUAAGGAAUGUGGCUCUGCUUCGGUGGAGUGUUAUAGCCUUGGUUGAUACUGCCUGUCUAGACCGAGGACUGCGUCUUUGACUAGGAUGCUGGCAUAAUGAUCUUAAGCCAC